GGACCCGCACAAGCGGUGGAUGAUGUGGUUUAAUUCGAUGCAACGCGAAAAACCUUACCCACCUUUGACAUGUACGGAAGUUGCCAGAGAUGGCUUCGUGCUCGAAAGAGAACCGUAACACAGGUGCUGCAUGGCUGUCGUCAGCUCGUGUCGUGAGAUGUUGGGUUAAGUCCCGCAACGAGCGCAACCCUUGCCAUUAGUUGCUACGAAAGGGCACUCUAAUGGGACUGCCGGUGACAAACCGGAGGAAGGUGGGGAUGACGUCAAGUCCUCAUGGCCCUUAUAGGUGGGGCUACACACGUCAUACAAUGGCUGGUACAGAGGGUUGCCAACCCGCGAGGGGGAGCUAAUCCCAUAAAGCCAGUCGUAGUCCGGAUCGCAGUCUGCAACUCGACUGCGUGAAGUCGGAAUCGCUAGUAAUCGCGGAUCAGAAUGUCGCGGUGAAUACGUUCCCGGGUCUU
rnacentral:rRNA from 1 species